rnacentral:misc_RNA from 1 species
GAUGAAGAACGUAGCGAAAUGCGAUAAGUAAUGUGAAUUGCAGAAUUCAGUGAAUCAUCGAAUCUUUGAACGCACAUUGCGCCCCCUGGUAUUCCGGGGGGCAUGCCUGUUCGAGCGUCAUUACAACCCUCAAGCUCUGCUUGGUAUUGGGCCCCGCCAGUUCUGGCGGGCCCUAAAGUCAGUGGCGGUGCCUUCCGGCUCCGAGCGUAGUAAUUCUUCUCGCUCUGGAGGUCCGGUCGUGUGCUCGCCAGCAACCCCCAAUUUUUUUCAGGUUGACCUCGGAUCAGGUAGGGAUACCCGCUGAACUUAAGCAUAUCAAUAAGCGGAGGA